UACGGGGGGAGCAAGCGUUGUUCGGAUUUACUGGGCGUAAAGGGCGCGUAGGCGGCCAGCACAAGUCAGUUGUGAAAUCUCCGAGCUUAACUCGGAAAGGUCAACUGAUACUGUGCGGCUAGAGUGCGGAAGGGGCAACUGGAAUUCUUGGUGUAGCGGUGAAAUGCGUAGAUAUUCGGAAGAACACCAGUGGCGAAGGCGGCUUACUGGACACGUAUUGACGCUGAGGUACGAAAGCGUGGGGAGCAAACAGG
rnacentral:rRNA from 1 species